UAUCCCGCACCGUAGGCAUCUAUCCUUGCUAGUAUUUUCAAGGUGGGGCAACUAUCCAUAGGGGUAGGCAUCUAUCCCCAAAAAUUGAGGUCUACAAAAAGCUAAAAUCUGCAAAACGUGUAGUAUAUAGGUCCAAAAAGACAAAUCACAAAUAAACAUAAAGGAUUAAACUAUUUACAUUCAUAGGUGUUAUUAAUGUAGAACCAAUAUUUAUUAAAUUAUAAGCAUAUUUGAAAAAGUGGGGCAUCUACCCUAAUAAUACUUGUAACGAGACGGCAAAGCCAUAGUACGUAUGCGACUGCCAGCGCCACCUACCAUGAUUGUGGAGAAUCUGCGAGCACCACACAGCGCCUACGCUUCACGCACACAGCGCCACCGAUGCCUACACUUGACGUACACGGGUCAAUCCGCGGAAAUUCAUUUAUGACAAAUAUAUGAUAAUAAUAAAUAAAAUAUCAUAUCUGCAUUGUUAAUUUACUUUAAAUGACAUUUCUUACAUAUUUUUACUUAAGGCUCCGCGCUCUUUAAUAAUUUACCACCUUUAUCUAAUCUAUUAUUUCAUUUAACACGCACCAAACGUCAAUCACCAUUUACGGAAAAAAGACAAGUAUUAAACUUCCUUAUUUAUUUAUCAAAAAAUGUCAAUGUAGUUUCCGUUUUUUUCCUCGUAUUUCGAAAGAACACAUUAUCUUAAGUAAUAUAAUAAACCAUCAAGUGAUUUAACAACAAAUAACAUAUAAUAAAAAAUAAUAUAAAUUUUGUCACAGAAAUUCGUCAACACCAUUCCGGCAUCGUCAAAGUUGUAUUUCUCGAACGUUCUUACUACCUACCGUGAUCGAGAACCCACGCCCACCUUCCCUCAGUCCCCUCAGUCUCACGCAGUGAAGCGGAGCGCACGUCAAUUUUACCGCUCAAAUUUUUCGACUAACAGUAGUUUGUGAACAGUGUGUCAGUUAUUUAUGUCAUCACCACUUCCACAGGAAAUCAGUUAAAUCAUGGACAGGAAAAAGAGUUCCAAGGAAAAUAAGCGGUUAGAGAAGCAAAAGAUUGCCAGAAGAAUAAGAUACGCUGAAAUUAAGGCAGAUCCAGUUCUCUACGAGCUAGGAAAAAAGAA